AUGAGAGGAUUACAGAAAACAGCCAUCUGUGGCAAGAAACUUCCUGCCCGACAUAAGCAUUCCUCAAUGCUGAGUAAAAUGGCUUUAAACUAUGCCCAGGAUGUUUUCGUAAAGUCCUUGAGGCAGAGCCUCAAGUUUAAAGAGCUUUCUACAAUAUUCCUAAGGAUAUAAUACAUUUUGAUGAUAAAACCCUAUUCUGGAUAUUUAUAUUAACUUAUUAAUAUUUUUUAUCAUGGAGACUUAGCUUUCAGUUGCAACAUUUGUACUAACUUGUUGUAUAGAAAUGUCCUCUAUCAUUCUCCUCUGUAUAUUCUUCAAAUCAGAAAAAUAAAGAUGAUAAUUCCUUGAUGUCUAAUCUGACU
rnacentral:lncRNA from 1 species